UUGCUUCAGCAGCACAUAUACUAAAAUUGGAAUGAUACAGGGAAGAUUAGCAUGGCCCCUGCACAAGAACAACAUUCAAAUUCGUGAAGCAUUCCAUAUUUUU
ensembl:snRNA U6 U6 spliceosomal RNA